rnacentral:rRNA from 1 species
UACGAAGGGGGCUAGCGUUGUUCGGAAUCACUGGGCGUAAAGCGCACGCAGGCGGAUCGUUAAGUCAGGGGUGAAAUGCCGAGGCUCAACCUCGGAACUGCCUUUGAUACUGGCGAUCUUAGAGUCCGGGAGAGGUGAGUGGAACUCCGAGUAUAGAGGUGAAAUUCGUAGAUAUUCGGAAGAACACCAGUGGCGAAGGCGGCUCACUGGCCCGGUACUGACGCUCAGGUGCGAAAGCGUGGGGAGCAAACAGG